CUGAAGAUCCCCUACGAUACUCUAGACGGGUCGACUGAGCAGGCCUGAAAGAACGACCUCUACCAUGCUGGAACUGGCCCCUCGAAGGAGCACCACUGUAGCCGCAUGAUCUUUGAGGCCUCUUAGCCUCACUCUCCUCUCGCUCUCUUCGCCAAACUAACUCGAACUCAAGAGCGAUAUCUACCACCUCCUUAAAUGUAGCACCC
rnacentral:lncRNA from 1 species